rnacentral:rRNA from 1 species
AUGAAAUUUGAGCCUAGUCCAAAAGAUCUUGCAAUCCUGCUAGCAAAUAGGAGCUUCUGCUUGUUGCGCCUGGGAAGAGGAAAAGAUGCUCUCUCUGAUGCUGAUGCGUGCACAAUGGUUAGACCUCGUUGGCCGAAAGGCUACUACCGAAAAGGCGCGGCUUUAAUGUUGCAGGAGGACUAUGAAAAGGCAUCCGAGGCUUUUGAAGAUGGCUUGAAGCUGGAUCCUACAAAUGCUGAUAUAGCAAAUGCUUUAAGGUAA